AUUCUUCUAAAAAUCUUUAUUUGUGUUCUGCAGAAGAAUGAAGGUCAUAUACAUCUGGGAUGGCAUGAAGACAGAUGUAAGACUUCUCAGUGGAAGGAGGAGGCGAGAAGCAGAUUUCCUGGUUCAGAUGUUUUUGAACACAAAAGCCCG